AACGAACGCUGGCGGCAUGCCUAACACAUGCAAGUCGAACGAGACCUUCGGGUCUAGUGGCGCACGGGUGCGUAACGCGUGGGAACCUGCCCUUAGGUUCGGAAUAACUCCCCGAAAGGGGUGCUAAUACCGGAUAAUGUCUUCGGACCAAAGAUUUAUCGCCUUUGGAUGGGCCCGCGUUGGAUUAGCUAGUUGGUAGGGUAAAAGCAUACCAAGGCGACGAUCCAUAACUGGUUUGAGAGGAUGAUCAGCCACACUGGGACUGAGACACGGCCCAGACUCCUACGGGAGGCAGCAGUGGGGAAUAUUGGAAAAUGGGCGAAAGCCUGAUCCAGCAAUGCCGCGUGAGUGAUGAAGGCCUUAGGGUUGUAAAGCUCUUUUAACCGGGAUGAUAAUGACAGUACCGGGAGAAUAAGCGCCGGCUAACUCCGUG
rnacentral:rRNA from 1 species